AUUGAACAGACAAUGAAUGAACCCGUAACGUCUGAUGGUAACGGAUGCCAAAGGGUGAAAAUUUGUUCCGGCGACCCUUUGGGAGUUGCUCGAAAAUGCUUCAGAUUUCGUAAGUUUUUUUCUUUUUCUUUUCAAAAAACGCCAUUGAAGGUUGUCCAGAAGAAUCGAUAGAUUUCGCUUUCUUUAAUACUAGGGUUUAAGCUAACUUUGGAGUUUUCAGUUUCUCUUUGAAACAAUGGUUAUAUUGAAAUAGUUGGGGAGAUGAAACAUGGACAGUAGUAAUGAAUCUUUGAGGGUUGAUAUGGGGGUGAUAGUAGGAGUAAGUGGAAAUACUAAAAAUUGCGAUAAUUGUGUAAAUCUGGUGGAAAAGAUCAAGGCAAUCGAAUGUAAUUGUUCCGAUUUGCGGCAGGGGAUUGAACAGGAGAGAAAUGAGCUUGAAGGUAAGUUUGAGGUGUUGAAGAGAAGGAAUCAAGAGUUGGAAGAGCAGAUUCGUCGAAUAGAGAGUAACGGCAGUAAUGAGGAGGAAGAGAGGGUUUUGCAAUGGAUGAUCGAGAACAGUGUACUCGAAUGCGAGAAAAAGAAGGCUGAAAGUGAUGUUGAGUACUGGAAAUCCAACUGUAACGAGCUACAGUUAACAGUGGCGGAAUUGGGAAAAAAGUUGGAUGCAAAUGCAGGAGAUACAGUUUCAACUAGAGUACAUGGAUUGCAAGAUGAAUGUGAUGAUUUAACGCAGAAAAUCCAUCUGCAAGUAGUUGAUGAAAUGCAAAACAAGGAUGGAGAACUUGGAUCUCUACUAUCUCAAGAUUCAGGAAAAUCUUUAGCAAAAACUCCAAUCUUGCAAGCCAAGUUUGUGAGAGAAAACAAAGCUUUACUAUCUGAAAGUGGCAAUAACUGUGUUAACAAAGUGAGGAAGCGAUUGAAAUUUGAAGAAGAAAGGGGGUCUAACAAGAGGAUGGCUCCUUCUACACCAGCUAGUGAAAGUCGUGCAAAAGUUGUUGUUAUUGACAUAACUGAAAGCGAUGAUGAAAGAACUACUGGUCCACCUUAUACAUCAAUAAUGGGAAAUGACUUUGAAUUUUCUGUGCCCCUCGGUACACCUCCCGUUCCAGGUAAUGUUUGUACUGUACCUUUCUGUGGAUCAGGGAGCAACUUGUCCAAUUCUGAAUUGCCUUCAAAGAAUGAUUCAAAGAUGACUGUCAUUGAGCAAGUUGAAGACAGUGACAUGGUUUGCCAUGAUGAGGAGCCUUUAUAUGUUCCAACUCCAAAAAGAAGAAGAGCUUCAAACAUAAUUGCUAGUGACAGUGACACCGAUGAUGAUGAUGAUAAAGUUCCAAUCUGCAUGCUCAAAACUAGGCAUUUUUGUGAAAAGAGCUCCAAUGAUCAUCCCAGAGGCCACUCAACUCAAACCGGUGAUUCCGAUGAUGAAGUCAGGAAUUUGUCUAGUAAACGGCGCCUAGUGAAGCUAAGUCAAUGCGAAGGGAAAGGUGGCGGUGGCAAUGAUAUUGAAGAAGAAGUGUCCAACAGUGAAGGAGAAAGCUUAGGUGGAUUUAUAGUUAGCAGCUCUGACAUCUCAGAUGAUGAUGACACCUCUAAUUCUGUUGGUGCAUUGCAAAGUAAUUCUGCUGUAGCUGAAGAUUCGAUAACUGAUUCAGAGUAUGUAUCAGAGAGUGAUUCAGAUUAUGGUGAGAUAAUAUCGAGAAUUCGAAGGAACAAAGGUGAUAAGUUAGAGUGGGAGUUUGAGGGGGACAUGCUUGCUGCCUUUGGUAAGGAUCCUGAAUUAUGUAUGAAGGCGGUUUGUGUUUUGUAUAGGCAGCAAACAUCUGAGGAGCAAUGUUGUAAAGGAACAAUAGAUCACAAUCAAAGAGGUUUUAGCCACUGUGAUGCCUUCAGGGGAAGUACCUUGGCUGAAUUUCUUACUGAUGGAGAUCCGAAAGGUGAUAUGACCAAGUCCGUGAAGGAACUGCAAGCUUAUGAUCCCAAGGGUAUUGAACUGUGCAGAACUUUGGCUACAAGAUACUCUAAGCAGCUGUUUUCUAUUUACAAAAACGAAGAGGAUCCCUUUUUCUCAGCUCCUUGACAUAGUGUAUGCACGGUUUGUUCCCUUUUGCCCGAAAUGAUGGUCCAAAAUCACUCCUCCUAACCUUGAUAUAGCUUACAUCUUAGCAUGUAUAGUCGUUCCCUCUGUAUAUACAACCUAUAUCGUAGGUGCUUUUGCUAUCAAGAAUUAACUAUUACAGACUUUUGAGCGUUGGUUCGUUUACUUGGAUCCUCACUGACCAUGUCAACGGUCUAAGUUUGCCUCAGAUCAGCGAAAGAUGUGCUGAAUUUUUUCAUAAAGCGGAGAGCAGAAUCAAGGAAUAAAAAAAAUGGAGGUCAAAAAGGCAACAACUUCCCCUUCUACAAUAGCCUGUGAUAAUAUUGUUCCCACAAGUGACGGGACAAAAAUAGACCAAGGUAUUGCAUACGGCCUAAUGCUGGUGGCAUUGGUGCUAACAUACUUCAUUCGCUGAUUCGGGUAACGGAGCUAAGAUUUAUAUUAAGUUUAAGAAGAAAUCAAAGAGAAUUCAAUGUGUGUUGUAUAUACAAAAUUAAUAAUAUUAAUUAUGUAUAAAUAAUGUAAUUUUUUAUCGAAGAGGAUUCAGAUAAAUUCGUCGAGCCCUCCCUCCCUUGUAUAUAAAGAAAAGAAAUUGGUAUAGAGAUGUACGUACAUGUUUGUUUUA